GGUCCGCGUGCUUGUUUUAUAAUAUAUAUAAAAGAUAUAAGCCAUGGUUGUGAUCUAUUUUCUAUUUCUUGCAAGAAUAGGGAUUUCUUGUAUCACACUGAACGGAGUGUGAUACGAAACAUUGAUACGGAAAUUUCCUGUAAUUUGGUUGGCUCAUCGAGUAUCACAAGACGAUGUUAUGGCAUUUCAUUGGCGUUUCGUUAGGUCAAUACCAUUACUGUCUUUCAAAGGUUAUGACGAAUCAGUCGGAUGUACAUUUUGUCCAGAACAACAUAAAUCUAAGUGAUUGCUUCAAUAAUAGACAAAAUACUCACACAUUUCACCUGGCAAACUUUUUUAUGUCAAAUUCUAUUGCAUACUGAAGCGAACAAAAGUCUUAAAAUUUCAAAUGUUGAAGUUUG
rnacentral:lncRNA from 1 species